rnacentral:lncRNA from 1 species
UUUUAUGAUGCAGGUGUUGCUGGGAAUAAUGAUUAUAAGUCCUCUUGAUUAAGUUUAUUUAAUUUUUCCACUCUGAUUGAUUUGAUUUUGAAUGGUUUUGUGCCUGUGAGAUUUGUGUUACAUGAAACAAGCUUUUGCUUUAUGUGUGGUGGUCACCUAGCUUCUGGGAGAGGGGUCGUGAGAGGCACAAAAACUAAUUUUUUUUUUUUUAUUUCAAGGACAUUAAAUGUGUUGUAAUUCAUCCUUUUUAUUCAUAAUACUUUUCAUAAUUUUGUCUUUCAUAACUGUUAUUUAUGUUAUAUUCUUAUUUAAUUGGUUAAUCUAUGAUUUGAUAGGCAUUAGGGGAG